UUACAUUGGGUGCCGUGGAAACACCAGACAGUCAUGCAGAUGAGAACAAAGACUGACGAUAUCCAUAGGAUGGUGAAGACAUCGCAAAGACUCACUUGAACUAUUUUGUCACGGUUCCUUUGUUUGUCACAAUUUUCUUUAUGUGAUGCAGACCACGCUAAGGAAUAAAAAAGUGGAGACGUGGAUAUGUGAUUAGAAUGGGUUGGAGAUUGUGAAAGAGACACAUCCCACGUUCUCGCGAGCCAGAAGUUCCUCUUGUCUUCCUUCCUUGAUAAUUUUACUUUAAAUGUCCUAGGCUGUUUAAACCUGACAUUAAAUUGGUCCUUCAAGCCGGAUCCCAAGAUGCUUGAGGAUUCCAGCGGGUGUGUUGAAUACCAGAAAGACUGUGGCCACGGCAGACUCUUUCUCAGUCUAAAGACCCUUUACAGGACUGGUGUGCAGCCCGCCGGCUGGUAUCCGACGGUUGACGGGAUCCAGAGAUGGAGGGAAGACAAGAGGGUUACAAGGGGCCCGGUUGAUUUAUUUUCCAAAGCCUAAAACACAGUUGACGAAGUGUCUACGAUGGAUUAAGGCUUGCGGAAGACUGCACGUACAACUAAAUGUGAACAAUAUCAACAAACACAAGGCUGUAUGUUGGAAGAGUCGUAGCUGGAAGCACUGGUCCAGUUUAAGCUUCCGGACAUGCCACAUCUGGUGGAGAUGUUGCCUGGUGGAGUGGAGCUUGUCUAGCAGACUGGCCACCUGAAACACAGACAAACAGAGGACAAUUUCUUUCAUUAGUCCCUUUUCACUGUCAGUAAAAGGCAGAAUUUGCCCAACUUUUUUGUGUAUUGCCAUUUAGAAGAAAGAAAUCAUUGUGCAUAUGAAAUUUAUAGCUAUGUCAGAGGCAGGAUGGCAGUCGUCUGUCUUUGAAUUGCAUCAUGUGGAGACAAUUUGUUCUUGUUGUGUCUUUCCCGGUUCUCUAUUCCCAUAUGGGAUGGCAACUCCACAUAAGGGAAUUUCAUGACAGGAAAUUUAACUCCUGACAUUUUUUUGUCUCUCCCAUGACUGUCACACAUGAUGGUAGCAUUGGCAUCCUCUAAGAUCUCUUUGUGGUAUGCCAAGUUGCUGUGUGAAAGUGCUCACAGUUCCUGAAAAAUCCAAUUUUUUUUCUGCCUUUUCUCAGACCUGGGGCAUUUCAAUAGAAUCUUAAAGCCCCACAAGGAACUUUUGCAUUGAGUUGAAGAUCUACUGAUUAUUAUAAAUCAGGCUACGAGGGGAAAAUAGUGUAAUACCCUACAUAUUUUACUUUGUUUAUAGCUACAGUAGUUUUGAGAAGAAUAGCGAUGGAGUGUUAACUGACUGCGUUGAUAUUUGGCAUUUUGGCACACAUCAGCAUCAGCAAUUAAUUAAUCUGACAGCCAAUAAUUUUAAACUGGAAUAUUUUGGCUUUGAUGCAGCUGCAGCGAGCAUCUCUUUUAGUGACUUCUGUCUCCAGCAUUGUCCCACCCACAGCACCACCAGAUUAGUUAUCUGUGCACAACGACUGCACCGGUAACUACCAAUCAGCACGCAGUAAAAGCCGUGCAAUGUGUUUUGGAUAUUAAUAAGUAUUUGUAAGAUAUUAGUACCCCUUGGAUCAUUAUAAAUAGUCUGUUUUUCUCUAAUCAUGGAUUGUUGUUUUUUUCCGGGGGCAAAUACAAAUUAUUAGUAGACAAGGAACCCAAUAACUGAUAAUUAGAGCUGAUAUUCAUUUUGCCAUAUAAAGGAAAAUAAAAGAAAAAUUUGACAUGAAAUGAAAAAUGAAAAAAACACUUUAUUUACAUGUCUUUAAGCACAUUUAUUAAACAGCUUUCAACUUUU